rnacentral:pre_miRNA from 1 species
AGCAACUCUAGUUGUCCUGUGUUUGAUUUGUAAAACUGUUUCAGGUAUAGGACAAACUGGAGGCAAGGGACGGGACAA